rnacentral:rRNA from 1 species
AUACGGAGGGUCCAAGCGUUAUCCGGAAUCAUUGGGUUUAAAGGGUCCGCAGGCGGUCAAUUAAGUCAGAGGUGAAAGCCCAUCGCUCAACGAUGGAACUGCCUUUGAUACUGGUUGACUUGAGUUAUACGGAAGUAGAUAGAAUAAGUAGUGUAGCGGUGAAAUGCAUAGAUAUUACUUAGAAUACCGAUUGCGAAGGCAGUCUACUACGUAUAUACUGACGCUGAGGGACGAAAGCGUGGGGAGCAAACAGGAUUAGAAACCCUAGUAGUCC